rnacentral:rRNA from 1 species
GGGGGGGGGGGCAAGCGUUGUUCGGAAUUACUGGGCGUAAAGGGCGCGUAGGCGGUCCCGCAAGUCCUCCGUGAAAUCCCACAGCUCAACUGUGGAACUGCGAGGGAAACUGCAGGACUUGAGUCCGGGAGAGGAGAGUGGAAUUCCCAGUGUAGCGGUGAAAUGCGUAGAUAUUAGGAGGAACACCGGUGGCGAAGGCGGCUCUCUGGACCGGUACUGACGCUGAGGCGCGAAAGCUAGGGAAGCAAACGGGAUUAGAUACCCCGGUAGUCCUAGCCUUAAACGAUGAGCACUUGGUGUGGCGGGUAUCGACCCCUGCCGUGCCGAAGCUAACGCAUUAAGUGCUCCGCCUGGGGAGUACGGUCGCAAAGGCUG